rnacentral:rRNA from 1 species
GACGAACCGUGCAAACGUUAUUCGGAAUCACUGGGCUUAAAGCGCGUGUAGGCGGAGCGGAGCGUCGGAUGCUGAAAGCCCCCGGCUCAACCGGGGAAGGGGCACCGAAACGACCGGUCUGGAGGCACGUAGGGGGACCUGGAACUUCCGGUGGAGCGGUGAAAUGCGCAGAUAUCAGGAAGAACACCCGUGGCUAAGGCGGCUCUCUAGUACGGUACUGACGCUGAGACGCGAAAGCGUGGGGAGCGAACAGG